ACAGGUGUGAUGAAAUUGGUAAACAUAUUAGAUUUAGAUUCUAAGAACUAGAAAUGUUAAUAAGGGUUCGAGUCCCUUUACCUGUAC
rnacentral:tRNA from 1 species